CACGUAGGGACCAAGCGUUGUCCGGAUUCAUUAGGCGUAAAGAGCUCGUAGGCGGUUCGAUAAGUCGGGUGUGAAACCUCCAGGCUCAACCUGGAGACGCCACCCGAUACUGUCGUGACUAGAGUCCAGUAGGGGAGCGUGGAAUUCCUGGUGUAGCGGUGAAAUGCGCAGAUAUCAGGAGGAACACCAGCGGCGAAGGCGGCGCUCUGGGCUGGAACUGACGCUGAGGAGCGAAAGCGUGGGGAGCGAACAGG
rnacentral:rRNA from 1 species